rnacentral:rRNA from 1 species
GACGAACGCUGGCGGCGUGCUUAACACAUGCAAGUCGAACGCGCCUGUCCUCUGGGUUUCUGGGGGGUGGGUGAGUGGCGAACGGGUGAGUAACACGUGAGUAACCUGCCCCCUUCUUCGGGAUAACGGUCUGAAAGGGCUGCUAAUACCGGGUAUUCACUGGUCUCCGCAUGGGGUCUGGUGGAAAGGUUUUUUUCUGGUGGGGGAUGGGCUCGCGGCCUAUCAGCUUGUUGGUGGGGUGAUGGCCCACCAAGGCUUUGACGGGUAGCCGGCCUGAGAGGGUGACCGGUCACAUUGGGACUGAGAUACGGCCCAGACUCCUACGGGAGGCAGCAGUGGGGAAGAUUGCACAAUGGGCGCAAGCCUGAUGCAGCGACGCCGCGUGAGGGAUGGAGGCCUUCGGGUUGUGAACCUCUUUCGCCCGUGGUCAAGCCGCGAUGUGGGUCGUGGUGAGGGUAGUGGGUAAAGAAGCGCCGGCUAACUACGUG